UACGAAGGGGGCUAGCGUUGCUCGGAAUCACUGGGCGUAAAGCGCACGUAGGCGGAUCUUUAAGUCAGGGGUGAAAUCCCAAGGCUCAACCUUGGAACUGCCUUUGAUACUGGGGAUCUCGAGUCCGGAAGAGGUGAGUGGAACUGCGAGUGUAGAGGUGAAAUUCGUAGAUAUUCGCAAGAACACCAGUGGCGAAGGCGGCUCACUGGUCCGGUACUGACGCUGAGGUGCGAAAGCGUGGGGAUCAAACAGG
rnacentral:rRNA from 1 species